rnacentral:rRNA from 1 species
UACGGAGGGGGUUAGCGUUGUUCGGAAUGACUGGGCGUAAAGCGCGCGUAGGCGGAUCAGGAAGUUGGGGGUGAAAUCCCGGGGCUCAACCCCGGAAUGGCCUUCAAAACUCCUGGUCUUGAGUUCGAGAGAGGUGAGUGGAAUUCCGAGUGUAGAGGUGAAAUUCGUAGAUAUUCGGAGGAACACCAGUGGCGAAGGCGGCUCACUGGCUCGACACUGACGCUGAGGUGCGAAAGCGUGGGGAGCAAACAGGAUUAGAUACCCCUGUAGUCC